GUUGCAGUUAAAAAGCUCGUAGUUGGAUUUCUGCGGGGGCGGGGCGGCCGGUUGCUUAUAGCAACUCGAGCUAGCACUUCCCCCGCAUCCUGCCGCGAACCGUGCUACCAUUAGUUUGGUGGCGCUGGGGAUCGGCUCGUUUACUUUGAGAAAAAUAGAGUGUUCAAAGCAGGCCACACGCCUUGAAUAAGUUAGCAUGGAAUAAUGAUAAAGGACUUCGGUUCUAUUUUGUUGGUGUUCGGGACUGAAGUAAUGAUUGAUAGGGACAGUUGGGGCGGUCAGUAUUCCAAAGCGAGAGGUGAAAUUCUCAGACCUUCGGAAGACUAACAGCUGCGAAAGCGUUCCGCAAGGAUGUUCCCUUUGAUCAAGAACGAAAGUUGGGGGAUCGAAGACGAUCAGAUACCGUCGUAGUCUCAACUAUAAACUAUACCAGCUAGGGAUCGGCCGACGUUUACUUAUAUCGACUCGGUCGGCACCUUAUGAGAAAUCAAAGCAUCUGGGUUCCGGGGGGAGUAUGGUCGCAAGGCUGAAACUUAAAGGAAUUGACGGAAAGGCACCAC
rnacentral:rRNA from 1 species